rnacentral:rRNA from 1 species
GAUGAACGCUGGCGGCGUGCCUAAUACAUGCAAGUCGAGCGAACAGACGAGGAGCUUGCUUCUCUGACGUUAGCGGCGGACGGGUGAGUAACACGUGGAUAACUUACCUAUAAGACUGGGAUAACUUCGGGAAACCGGAGCUAAUACCGGAUAAUAUAUUGAACCGCAUGGUUCAAUAGUGAAAGACGGUUUUGCUGUCACUUAUAGAUGGAUCCGCGCCGCAUUAGCUAGUUGGUAAGGUAACGGCUUACCAAGGCGACGAUGCGUAGCCGACCUGAGAGGGUGAUCGGCCACACUGGAACUGAGACACGGUCCAGACUCCUACGGGAGGCAGCAGUAGGGAAUCUUCCGCAAUGGGCGAAAGCCUGACGGAGCAACGCCGCGUGAGUGAUGAAGGUCUUCGGAUCGUAAAACUCUGUUAUUAGGGAAGAACAAAUGUGUAAGUAACUAUGCACGUCUUGACGGUACCUAAUCAGAAAGCCACGGCUAACUACGUG